AGUCCAUUUCUUUAUCACUAAACAAUCCCAAAGUCUGGCCCCAUGCCCAUGCGGCACCUGGUGCUGGUUUCCCCUUCUCUUACGGGGCGCCGUUUUCUUCCACAUCAUCUUCACUAGAGCUCCUAUUUCCAUCUCCCUGUUUUUGUCUUCUCCAGCGGGAUGUGUGUGUGCGUGUGAAUAUGUGUUUGUGAGCGUGCAGGUAAUACAGGGAGCUUGCCCAGACGAAGUGCAUGCUGCUAAAACCAUUCCUAGGCUGUCUGCAGAAUCGACGACUGUCCCUGCUGCCUGGGAAUUGUUUACAAGCACUUGAACUCAACAACCUGCCUCCAGCAAAUGCAUCCAGUUGGGCAAUUGUGGCCAGUUGGGUAAAUGCUAGACCCUGGAGUCCAACAGUCCCAGUGAGAACUUGGAGUCUCUAAACAGGCUUUCAGGAUCCUUUCGUGGUAAAAAGCAAAGGCGAUUUAGAUUUAUUGAGUGAGAGAUGUCCUGAUACCAAGGAAAAUAGAUAAGCUGGGAAAGGUGACUCUGCUGGCACUCUUCAGGGACUGAAGCAUGGGAGUUGCCAAAGUUUCUCAAAUUCCACCACCCCACCUUGAGCUGCUGGGAUGAUGAAAUACUCUGAAGAGUUUGAUUGCCUGUACUGAUGAGCUGGACUGAAGCCCAGCAACCUGGCCUACCUCCAGGUGGCCACGAAGGACUCCAGGUUGGACCUGCCAUGCCCCUACAAAAGCGCCUUAUGGACCAGAGCACAGCUCCCCAUAAAGCACGGCUUCCAUGUUGCCAGUAGCAAGAUGAGUUACUUCACGUAUUAGCUGGCAAAUGAAAUGCCAGGUGGAAGUGAGGUGUUGAAACACAGAAAUAGAUGCAUCCCCACCCUGAGGGGUGAUGAAACUCUUGGAAGAGGCCUUUGCAGGCACUUGGCACAUGCACGGGAGAGAAGGUUCUGAACCCAGGAGGAGAAGGAACAAGUGUUAUUUUUGGCCCCUCAGGAUAAUUAUUGCUGACAGCAAUUACAAACAACCCCAAAAUCUCAGUCUUAACACUAGAAAAGUUGUACUUCUCAUCUCAUGUCUCUUGUUUCUGGUCAAGAGGAUCUGAUGUAAAAGGGUGACUCAGGGACCCAGUUUGCUUGGUAUUGAGUCUCCCAUUAUGUGACUUCAAAGUCAACCUGGAAUCAUCUAGCCACGAGAAAUGGAGAAAGCCUGGAAGAUCAUGCCAAGGGAUAUUUUAUGAUGUGUACAGCCAGGCCUGGAAAUGUGACAAGCCACAUCUACCCACACUCCAUUGAGCAAAGAAAACUGUAGAAGACCUUGAACCCGGGUGAGACAUCUACUCUGCAUCAGAGAGUAGUGAGUCCUCUGUCAUUAGAUGAGGCAAACAGGCGCUGAUCAUUUGGUGGAGACAUGAAGAGUCAAGUCUUCCAUCAGAUAGCUGGACCACAGCAAUGAUUCCCACACUUUUUAUUCUCCAGGGUCCUUUCAUAAUUUUUCUCUUUGGACCUCAUGUUUUGAAAGAUCAUGUCUAACAAACAAACGACACUUGUUGAGUAAUAACAA
rnacentral:lncRNA from 13 species